GAGGGGAGCGCCGGAUCUUGGGCUGUGUCCCCCACCGCCCUGGGCUCUGGGGCCUGCGCCACUGGAAUCUCGCUCCCGGGACUUGCAGCCCCCU
rnacentral:pre_miRNA from 1 species